GAUGAACGCUAGCGGCAGGCCUAAUACAUGCAAGUCGAACGGUAACAUGAGUAGCAAUACUUGAUGACGAGUGGCGCACGGGUGCGUAACGCGUUUGCAAUCUACCUUUAACAGGUGAAUAGCUCGAAGAAAUUCGGAUUAAUACACCAUAAUAUUGAGAAGUGGCAUCACUUUUCAAUUAAAGCUCCGGCGGUUAAAGAUGAGCAUGCGUGACAUUAGCUAGUUGGUAGAGUAAUAGCCUACCAAGGCAACGAUGUCUAGGGGAUCUGAGAGGAUUAACCCCACACUGGUAUGAGACAGGGACCAGACUCCUAC
rnacentral:rRNA from 1 species